rnacentral:rRNA from 1 species
CUAAGAAUAUUCCGCAAUGGACGAAAGUCUGACGGAGCGACGCCGCGUGGAUGAUGAAGGCCGGAAGGUUGUAAAAGUCCUUUUGUCGGGGAAGAAUAAGCGCGGGAGGGAAUGCCCGCGUGAUGACAUGAACCGGCGAAUAAGCCCCGGCUAACUACGUGCCAGCAGCCGCGGUAACACGUAGGGGGCGAGCGUUGUUCGGAAUUACUGGGCGUAAAGGGCAUGUAGGCGGUCUUGUAAGCCUGACGUGAAAGGCUAUGGCUUAACCAUGGCACUGCGUUGGGAACUGCGGGACUUGAAUCACGGAGGGGGAACUGGAAUUCCAGGUGUAGGGGUGAAAUCGUGUAGAUAUCUGGAAGAACACCAGUGGCGAAGGCGAGUUCCUGGCCGAUGAUUGGCGCU